CAGAGAUUUUCUCUGUACCCCAUUUCCUCCCUUACAAUUAACAUCUCUCACCUCAGGGGUUCAUUUCUUAAUGAAAGACCUACAUUGACACAAUCUGGGGUUCGGGGCUGGGAUUUGGGACUUUGCCACUCCCCUUUUAGAGUCUGACAGAGACUGAUAAUUCAAUUGACUUAAAACAGAUUAAUAGAAGGGAAGCACACAGAUUUUACACAUAUAUAGGUGCAUAUAUGAGAAGAUGACAACCUAAAGUUGCAAACUUAGUAGGUUGGACAAAUACAGCCAAUAAUGGAAAAGUAAAAUGUAUGAGGACACGAAAAAAGAGUGAAGUAACUUCCAGACUUCCUAACUCCUGGACCCCAGAAUCCUACCCACCCCCCUGGGGUCACCAAAAGCUUCAGUAUGAUGCUUCUUCUCAUUCACCCUAAGCCUCUGCUGAUCUACUUUCCUGUUACUGAGCACAGCCAGCUGUUUUUCAUGUGUGAAGAGAAGUGAAGAAAUCAUUUGCUGAGUUCCCAAGUGCAAAGGUUUUCAUAUGAGUUACGGAAACCCUUUGCACUAUUUAUUUAUUAUCUUUAUGAAUUCAUGUUGCAUACUUUGUAAAUUCUUGGUGGAAAGUGCAUGUCUUCAGUUGUCUUUUGUGUCAACUUGUAAAUAAGAGAAGCUGGACUCAAAUUCCUAUUUUCUGACUUUGAUUCCACAGUAUUUCCACCAAUCACACUGUCUAACACAGGAAGGAAAAGAGCUACUGCCUCUUGAGUGUGAAUUAACACAUUCUUAUAAUAACACUUGAAAAAUUCCUUGUCUUCUCCGCCCUUUAGUAAUUCCCCUCUUCUCUUAGGAAGCCUAACAAGCAACCAACCCAACACAGGAAACGAAGAAACAUCUUUGGCCCAAUUUGCUCUUUAUAAGACCAGAAAACCAUGACAUAUCUAUCAGAAAAUGCAAUUACUUUCCAUUCCUGUACAUAGGUGUAUUUCAAAGGUAACUUCAUUUUGCGGGAGCAGUGCUUUUGGAACAAACACUGUGUUCUAACAUGAAACCAAGCUCUACCAGGGGAGAAACGACAAGGGAGUAAAGGUGUUCUGUGAGAAAUAUAUCAUCAGUGUGCUGUUUUUGAGAGUUCCUUCUAAAGUGAGCAGUGGUUUGUUUUGUGGAAUUGAAGCACUGAUAUAAAGAUUAUUUUCCCUAACAUUAAAAAAGGGAGUAUAACAUUUGAAAUAAGAAAGCAAGGGUAUUUCAAAGCUAUUCAACAUCAGGGCAAUAAUGGAAGUUAGUAGACAGGAUGUGUGAGUAAUGUCGUAAACUGUGGUUAAAAUGAUUCCGUAUGUGAAUCUUCUUUGGAUCUGAAAGGGCAGUUUUUUCACAUGAUUACAAAAGACCCAACUUUAAAAAGAGAUUAAGUAGAUGGUCACUUGUUUUGGGAGGCUUGCUAAAUGAGAGAAAUCCAUUCCUGGAGGAAUGGAAUCAUUGAUUUAAAAGGGUGCAAAAAUCCUUAGAGAAUAUCCCUUAAAAUUUUGUUUUCAAAACACUAGGCAUAACCUUUUAGUCAGGCAUGAAAUCUAUUCAAUGCCAGUAUAAAACCAAGUAGAAGAGAACAGGAAAAAACAUUACAAAUUGCAAUGCACACAGUAAAAUUAGAUACUGUUUCAUGAAAAUUUUGUUUCACACACACACGUUAUUUUAUUUAAAAUGUAUUUCUUGUAACCAAGUGAUGGAGGGACAGGGGGAUGGAGGGAAGGAGAAAGGGAUGAAAAAAGAAUUAAGUUGUGUUAUGUGUCUGUACCAACUCCCCAUGAGGAAUGUAGUCAUGAUGUACUGGAAACACAUACUAAUAAAAGUAACUGAGAAAAAGAAAAUGUGUAUGUUUCCUCAAUGAAGUAUUCCUCUGCUAUAAAGAAAGAUAAAUCGAGUCACUUGUAGGAAAAUGGAAGCAACUUGAGACCAUAAUGUUAAGUGAAAUAAGUCAGACACCC
ensembl:lncRNA